UCCAGAAGAAGAAGAAGAGAGGGAAGGAGAAUAUCAGCGCAGAUGAGGAUAAAUCUGUUCUUGUGAUAUUCUGAGAGGAUUUUCAACAAAAAGCCUCAUCUCUCUUCGCCUAGAAAAGGCGGAUUCCGAAGCUUGACGUGGGAGGGGGACCCGAAGAGACAGGGGGAGAGAGAAGUUGCUCGUAAAAGAGGCCGAAAGUGGAGGGCAGAGGGUGAGAAAAAAGAGGAGGAGUAAACGAAGGCAUUGUUUUUUAAUUGGCGAAGCGAGGAGCUCGAAGGAAGAGAACCUAAAGAGAGAAAGAGAGCUCGCGAAGAGGGAGAAGCCAGAGGAGGAAAAAGCAGAGCGGUUUUGGUGUUCACCAAGGAAAACAACAAUGAGACCAAAGAGUCCUUCAGUGGGGAGACCCCCAACAUCUCAAGGCCCUAGCCAAAGUGAUUUUGGUUGGCUAUUCCGAGCCAUAGAGGAUUUAACUUCAGUUUUGAGUCAGUAUAUAGCCAACAACCACAACAGCAACAUCAACAACAACAAUAAUCAGAGUCAGACUGAAGUUUAUGCCAAUAAUACUGAGAGGUUCAUGAUGCUCAAUCCUCCAACCUUCACAGGUGGACCUCAUCCAAUGGUUGCUGAGAGAUGGGUGAGAAAGAUUGAAAUUUUUUUGAAGUGAUUGGUGUCACAUCCGAGCAGAAAGUGCAACUUGCUGCCUUUAUGCUUGAGGGAGAAGCUGAGAACUGGUGGAGCCUACAGGAGGAGUUCUUAGCCACCUGGGAUGGGAAAGAUUCCUUGAAGCUUUCAAUGCUAAAUACUUUCCAGAGUUUAUCCGGGACCAGAAAAAAUUGGAAUUUCUGAAACUUAAUCAGGAGAACAUGACUGUGGCAUGAUAGACUAGGAAAUUCAUUGAAUUGGGCUGCUUUGCACUAGAUAUAGUGGCUGACGAUGGAAGGAAAAGCCCGAAAAUUCCAGAGAGGGCUGAGGGAGGACAUCCAUGAUGAGGUGGCAAUGUUGGGACUGACCACAUACCCAGAAAUCCUGGGAAGGGCUCAAGUAAUAGAAGGGAUAAUAGAUGAGUGACACCGACAAGCUGGAAGUUCUAGGACGUUUGUGCGCGACAAAAGAAAUCAACCAGAGCUCAGGCAGCAAGACGAGAGGUAGAGAACAGUACCUAGAGCCCCUCUCAGAGUCCUGGCAGCAGGUAUAGGGAACAGUAUCUAGAGCACCUCUCAGAGUACCGACAGCAGGUACAGAGAAUAGUACCUAGUCCCCCUAGAUUGUAUUUUAGUAGUGUUCACACUUGCAAAUGAUACUCUACUUUCUGAUGUUUAUAAGUCAUUCAAUGUGAAAAUGUGUGCGCCUAUUCAUUGUUGUAGUUGGAGUUACCCUUCUACCUAGAGCCCCUUUCAUUGGUUCUGAAAAUGGUGUCAUACGAUGAAUUGAAAUGUGAUAGGAUGUAAUGUGAUGGAAAAUGUGAUAACUUGUGAUAAGAUUGGAUAAAUUGUGGCCAAGGUAUGGGACAAUAUUUGUGAAAAGAAUUUGAAAAGAAAAAGUCAAAUUCAGUCUUCCUGUAUGAGUUUAUUGAAUUCCUAUACGGUAUCAGCCACCAUGGGAUUCCAAACCUUCAAGAUAUCUCUUCUCCGAAUGCUAUCCAAUCUGUAUGGUUCUUAUUUUGCAACUGCCACCCUUAGAACCAUCUCGAGUUUGUCCUUAGCACACAGGGAAGCAGGCUCCACUUUCUGGUCGUUGAGCCAUAUAGCUGUAAAUAUUUAUUGCAAUGUCUCAACCAUGUGCUGGGGUUGCUUCAUCGGGAAUGCCUACUCGAGGAGUGUUGUAGCCCAAGACUAUGUUGGGGUGAUUUAGAGUGUGGCUAGAGCUCCCAGUCCCAUUGCACUUCAGGUUCAACAGAUCCUUAUGCUGCAAGGAACUCUUUUGGGCUUGCACUAGGGGUGAGGUUGGUGGUUCAUGGUAAGUUUGAGUUGGAGGAGGUUGGUAUGUGUUGAUUGAGCGCAGAGUUUCAACCAGCAGAUUCUGUAAUUUAAGGUUAUCUUUCAGCAAGUUUGGUAUCAUUUGUGCUGUAGAUCUCGGUCAUAAAGUCUUGCAGCUGUUGUUUCAAUCUUUUCAUGGAUUCUUCACUUUGAGAUCCCUUUUGGUUAUCCUUUCCUUUGUCUCAAUCAUGGGGCCUUUCCUUUGUUUUUCGCUAAUUUAGAUACUUAAGAUGCAACUCCACCAAGUUCGACCAGCUCCGGUACCAAGUUUUCAGAGUCCUGGUUCAUGAGCCAUGGGACCUGGCCCUUAUAGAAGCUCGGGAAGAAUGUGGAUUAAGAAUGGAGAUUUUUGUUUACUUCUCAUUAUUACAGUUUAAUUUUAAUUUUAUUAUUUGAAUUUAAUAAACAUUUAUCAUUAUGUUCCA